AUUGAACGCUGGCGGUAUGCUUAACACAUGCAAGUCGAACGGUAGCAGGCCUUCGGGUGCUGACGAGUGGCGGACGGGUGAGUAACGCGUAGGAAUCUGCCUCAUAGUGGGGGACAACGUGGGGAAACUCACGCUAAUACCGCAUACGCCCUACGGGGGAAAGCGGGGGAUCUUCGGACCUCGCGCUAUGAGAUGAGCCUGCGUUAGAUUAGCUAGUUGGUAGGGUAAAGGCCUACCAAGGCGACGAUCUGUAGCUGGUCUGAGAGGACGAUCAGCCACACUGGGACUGAGACACGGCCCAGACUCCUACGGGAGGCAGCAGUGGGGAAUAUUGGACAAUGGGCGCGAGCCUGAUCCAGCAAUACCGCGUGUGUGAAGAAGGCCCUAGGGUUGUAAAGCACUUUCAAUAGGGAGGAAAACCUGUCGGUCAAUACCCGGCAGCUUGACAUUACCUAUACAAGAAGCACCGGCUAACUCCGUGCCAGCCGCCGCAGUAACAC
rnacentral:rRNA from 1 species